rnacentral:rRNA from 1 species
AAACAUCUUUUCUUGUUAGUUUCUGAAGUAUGGCCUGCCCGCUGACGUAUUUUGAGUUGAAGGGCCGCGGUAUUUUGACCGUGCAAAGGUAGCAUAGUCAUUAGUUCUUUAAUUGUGAUCUGGUAUGAAUGGCUUGACGAGACAUGGGCUGUCUUGGGUGUGAAUUUGUUGUUGAAUUUGGAGUUUAAGUUAAAAUUCUUAGAUGUUUUUAUGGGACGAGAAGACCCUAUAGAGUUUGACAUUUGAUUGCGUAUUUCUUGUUGUUUGUUUUGAAUUUUUGUGCAUCUCUUGUUUUGUUGGGGUGAUGGGAGGAAUUUAUUUAACUCCUCUUUUAUGUGGUAUAUUGAUUUGUAAUUGUUUUGAUCCAUUUAUUUUGAUUGUAAGAUUAAAUUACCUUAGGGAUAACAGCGUUAUCUUCCCUGAGAGUUCUUAUUGGCGGGGGGGUUUGCGACCUCGAUGUUGGAUUAAGGUUAAUUUUUGGUGUAGGAGCUGAAUUGAUUGGCUACUU